CCUACGGGAGGCAGCAGUAAGGAAUAUUGGUCAAUGGACGCAAGUCUGAACCAGCCAUGCCGCGUGAAGGAUUAAGGUCCUCUGGAUUGUAAACUUCUUUUAUUUGGGACGAAAAAGGGUCUUUCUAGAUCAACUGACGGUACCAGAUGAAUAAGCACCGGCUAACUCCGUGCCAGCAGCCGCGGUAAUACGGAGGGUGCAAGCGUUAUCCGGAUUCACUGGGUUUAAAGGGUGCGUAGGCGGGAAGGUAAGUCAGUGGUGAAAUCCUAGAGCUUAACUCUAGAACUGCCAUUGAUACUAUUUUUCUUGAAUAUUGUGGAGGUAAGCGGAAUAUGUCAUGUAGCGGUGAAAUGCUUAGAUAUGACAUAGAACACCUAUUGCGAAGGCAGCUUACUACGCAUAUAUUGACGCUGAGGCACGAAAGCGUGGGGAUCAAACAGGAUUAGAUACCCUGGUAGUCCACGCCCUAAACUAUGAUUACUCGACAUUUGUGAUACACAAUAAGUGUCUGAGCGAAAGCAUUAAGUAAUCCACCUGGGAAGUACGUCCGCAAGGAUGAAACUCAAAGGAAUUGACGG
rnacentral:rRNA from 1 species